AGCUCCAAUAGCGUAUAUUAAAGUUGUUGCGGUUAAAAGCUCGUAGUUGGAUUUCUGUCGAAAACAGCCGGUCCGCUCUAUGAGCGUGUAUCUGGUUUGGUUUUGGCAUCCUCUUGAAGAACGUAUCUGCGCUUCACUGCGUGGUGCGGUAUUCAAGACUUUUACUUUGAGGAAAUUAGAGUGUUCACGGCAGGCAAGCGCCUUGAAUAUAUUAGCAUGGAAUAAUAAUAUAGGAUUUUGGUUCUAUUUUGUUGGUUUCUAGGACUAGAAUAAUGAUUAAUAGGGAUAAUUGGGGGCAUUUGUAUUAACGCGUCAGAGGUGGAAUUCUUGGAUUGCGUUACGACAAACUACUGCGAAAGCAUUUGCCAAGGAUGUUUUCA
rnacentral:rRNA from 1 species